UAUUCUCUCUCUCCCACACGUUCUCUGCCUCGCCUUCCCUGUAAAAACCCAACAACCUCCCUUUCACUUUCUUUCUUCCCCUCGUACCCAUUUCUAUUUCUCUUUUCCUCCCCCCACACACCAUCUAGGUCGAAAGCUCGAAGUUGACACUCCGCCUCCCACUCUCACUGUCUGGUCGGAGUCGCUGCUCCGCCUGAGUUGACAGCAACGCUCCGCCUCCCACUCUCAUCAUCUGGGUCGAAGUCGCUCGUCAUCGAGUCGGAGUCGCCGCUCCGCCUGAGUUGACAUCAACGCUCCGCCUCCCACUCUCAUCAUCUGGGUCGAAGUCGCUCGUCAUCGAGUCGAUGCCGCCUCUCUCUCCAUCUAGGUCCUGCAUUUUCUAGCUUUCUUUAAAGCUAUGACGGAAGCUUGAAUCCUUUUAAUUGUUGAAGAAAUAGUAAGGUUUUUUUUAUUCUCUCUUGUUUUCAUUGCUAAUUUUCUUAUAUUAAAUUUUAAAAAAACUUUAUUGAUUUUCUUCUUUGUGGAAAGAUAAGUGCUCAUUUGAUUAUGAUAGAGUUUGUACAUAUAAUAGGUAUUUUAUGUUUUCGAUGUGAAAAAAUAGGGCCAUUAAAUUUUAUUAGAAGUUGCUACACAUUUCUUGAAUACUCUAGAAAGUUCUAGACAUUUGUAGAAUACUUUACUCAAGAAUUUUCUAGAUAUUUGUGUUAGAAUUAUUGUUAUGGACUAAUAUAAUCAUAGACAUUAUUCCAUAAUCACAACCAUUAACUAAAAUGCCUACUAAUUACCAAUAACCAUAAUGGGAUGGUUUACACUUACUAAUUGCAUUAGAGGCACAUGGUGGCACCCUAAUGACUAUGUGUUGGCCCAUUUAACUAUAGUUCACUACUUCAUAAUAUAAUGAGCCCCAAUUAGCCCACUAAUACCUCUUAAGGUAUAAGAGCAUAAUAUAUAUGUUGUAUGGGUGGAAGUUGAGGGUAGUGUGGUAUUGUGGUAAGGGUUUGCUAUCCAUUAGGUUCCUCUUGCAUUUUGCACUUGAUUUUGUAGGUGAAUUGGAAGAUUUCUAAGGGAGGAAAUGGCUCUAGAAGGGAUUGGCAAUAUGGGAGGUAUGUUCUCACAUUCCCAAUCAAUGCUCUAAAUAAAAUGUAUUCUUGGAUUGAUUGUGAAAUCUAUUUUGAGUGUUAAAUGAUGCUUACACUAUGUUUACAAUCUAACAAUUGGUAUCAGAGCCAGGUUCAUUUGAUUUUGGGGCUUGAUAUUUUGAUAUAGACCCAAUUUUUCAAAAUAUGAUUUUUUCACAAAAUAUUUCAAAAUCAGGUUUGAUAAUGAGUAUUGGGUUUUAGCUAUUUUUUUGGGCAAAAAUUUCAUGUAUUGCUGUUGUGAAACCGAGCUUUUCAUGGAGCUCAAAAAUGGUGGAAACCCAUUUUCAGUUUUCAUGUUGUUUUGACAUUUUUGUUGGGAAAUGAGGACAAUGGAGAUGCUAGGGUCGUCGUCCACGGAGAGGGGAGAAAAACCCAUGUUACAGUGGCCAAAAUGGUGGCCGGAGACGGUGGUUCCAGUCGGGUCGGACCCGCGGGACGAACCGGGUCGAACGCGACUCGUAAGCCAAAAUUUAGAGGUCAGGGACGACAAUAAACGACACGUCGUUUUGCCUCUUUCAAGCAAAAAUGACAUGUCGUUUUUAAGGGCAAAGGGCGCCGUUUUUCCAAAACGACAUGUCGUACGGUCAUGUUAAAAUUAAAAAAAAAAAACUAUUAUGGCACGUGGGGGCGCGUGAGGGGUCCUUUUUGGCCAAAAUUUUUACCAUUUCACUCCUAUUCUCAUAUCCUACUAUUUGUAUAUGUUUAUGGACAAGAUUAAUUCAUAGAUUUGGUUUCAUAAUUGUAUUUAUAUUUAAUCUUUUGUGGCAUAAAUCUUAUUAUAUAUAUUGUCAACAAUUAUUGUUUAUUUUCUUGCCUGUCGUAAGAAUAAGCAUGUAAAUUUUUUAGUAAAGAGGAACAUGUAAAUAAUUAUUUAUUUAAAUUUUGUGUUUUCCCUCCAAAAUUACAUUAAGAUCUAUAUAAGUAAUUAAUUAUCCUAUCGUUAAUAAUUGCUUGGUAAGGAUGCUUAAUAUGGUGAAGAAAAUUUAUUAAACAUUAUGAAUCACAAUUUAUCUAUCCUUUCGAUAGUAAAUUAAUGUAUUUGAUUAUAAUGUUUAAUAGAUUGUUCUUACCUGUGUAUGAGUUCUAUUUUGUGUGUUUGUCUAAGAACUUUAGCAUACAUAAUGAUCAUUUGUUAUUUUGCGAUCAUAUAUUGAUGAGAAAAGAGCACAAAUGACAUGGUUUAUCAUAACAUGUAUUUGAUAGUUAUUGCUCUUGUUUCUCAUUUAGCUGUAAGCAUUCCGAGAACCUCUGCCAUGUUGACACUGAAUGGAACCAACCACAAGCAGUGGGUUGAAUCCCUCAUGAUGAACUUGACUCUUAUGAGAGUGGACUUGGCCUUGAGAAUGGAUGCACCACUUAAACCCGCUGAUGAUGCCACUGAAAAGGAAAAGAAGUCCUAUGAGGAUUUGGAGCAUUCCAAUCGUUGUUGUUUGAUUCUUAUGAGGUAUCACAUGGAUGAAUCCAUUCGUGAUAGUAUUCCUCAGACUGAAAAUGCAAAGGAUUUUCUUGCUGCCAUUAAGUAGAAGUACAAAAAGUUCUCAAAGAAUGAGAAGAAUGAGUGCUUAACCUUGCUCCAUCGCACCAAUUACGCUGAUACGUGUGAUAUUAGAGCUCAUACGACAAGCUCAUGGGUUGUUACCAAAAGCUUAAGGCUAUGGGGUUGGAUCUUGGUGAGGAUUACAUGGUGUGGUUUGUGAUGGAAACCAUUCCUCCCCAGUUUGAUUCAAUCAGAUCAAGCUACAAUGCUCAAAAGGAGCAAUGGACUAUUGAGGAGAUGACUACUAUUCUUGCCAAGGAAGAAGAAGACAUGAGAAAGGGAAGGGCAAGAAGUAUCUCCAUGGUGACGAACCCAAACAAUCCUCACAAGAGAAAGUUCACUUCCAAUAAUUCUGGUAACAAAAAACCUUCCAAGAAAAAGGCACUUAGUCCUAAAAGGAAUGGACAGUCCAGCUCAUCCUCUAAUGGUCAUAAGAAUGAGUUUUUCAAAGGGAAGUGCAACUUUUGCCAGAAUUUGGGCACAAGAAAGCUGAUUGUAGAAAGCUCAAGACUCACCUAGAGAAGAAAGGUAACUGUCUUGUGAUGGUUUGCUUAGAAUCCAAUAUUAUUGAUGUGCCCUCAAAUUAUUGGUGGUUAGAUACUGGAGCCACAAUUAAUGUUAUGAAUUCCUUGCAGGCAGUGACAAGUCGAAGAAGACCGAGUAGUCUGGAGCAGAAUGUGUACAUGGGAGACGAUACAAAAGUCCAAGUCAAAUUUUUGGGGAUAGUUAGAUUACAGUUGAAUACAUGAUAUUUUUUGGAGUUACAGGAUGUUGCUUACAUACCCUCUUUUAGGAGGAAUUUGAUUUCUGUAUCUAUUUUGGAUAGGCUAGGUGAUAGUUUUCUUUUUGGAACUAGAAAACUCACUUUGUAUCAUGACUCUCUUUUGGUUGGAAAUGGAACUUUAUGUGGAAAUUUAUAUAAACUUGAUUUGCAUGAUGUUGCUUCUGUUUCUUCUACUUCUUGUCUUAAUGCUGUUGUUGGGUCUAAACGUGCAAGAUUAGAUUUGAAAUCUUCUAUGUUGUGGCACAAACGUUUAGGUCAUAUCUCUAAAGACAGAAUGGAAAGGUUGAUCAAAGAUGGGGUACUUCAAGAUCUGGAUUUUUCAGAUUUCAUUGCUUGCGUUGAUUGUAUUAAAGGAAAGUUAACUGCCAAGGUUAGAAAGAGCAAGUCAGACAGGUGCACAGAUGUAUUGGAGCUUAUUCAUACUGAUAUUUGUGGGCCUUUUGUUCCGCCUGCUAUGGGUGGUUAUAAAUAUUUUAUCACCUUCAUUGAUGACUUUUCCCAGUAUGGCCAUGUUGAGCUCAUUCAUGAAAAAUUUGAAUCUUUGGAUGCUUUUAAGAUUUUCAAGACGAAUGUUGAGCUUCAAAAGGGAAAAAUGAUCAAAGUUGUCAACUCUGAUAGAGGUGUAGAGUAUUAUGGACGUUAUGAUGAAAAUGGAAGGAACCCCGGGCCUUUUGCCAAAUACUUAUAGGAAUGUGGUAUUGAUGCAAGAUAUACAAUGCCAGGGACACCCAACAGAAUGGAAUCGCUCAAAGAAGAAAUCGUACACUUCUUGACAUAGUACGAUGUAUGCUGAUUCAUUCUAGGUUGCCAGAAUUUUUAUGGGGUGAGGCAUUGAGGACUGCUGCUUAUAUCUUGAAUCAAGUGACUAGUAAGUUUGUCCCAAAGACACCAUACGAGUUGUGGUCGGGUAAGAAACCGAGUUUGCAUCAUUUUCAUGUUUGGGGAUGUAAAGCUGAAGUAAGGCCCUAUAACCCACAGUCUAUGAAACUUGAUCCGAAGACCAUUAGUGGCUAUUUUGUAGGCUACACCAUUGGAUCAAGGGGUUCCAUAUUUUAUUGCCCAUCUCACACCAUCAGGGUUAUAGAAUCAGAAAGGGUUGUCUAUUUUGAGGAUGAAUUUGGUUCAAGUUAAGGGUCAAGAGAAAUUGUUUUCAGGGAAGAACACAUUUUUGUCCCUGUACCUAUCGCUUCCGCUCCUAUUGAUGACCCUGUGAUUAAACAGAUUCUGGUAGAAACUCAUGAUGAACCUCAAAAUCAAGAACAAGGUGAAAAUCUUGAUAUUGGGGAUGAUGAAGCUAUGGUGAGAAGAUCACAAAGAACCCGCAGGUGUGCUAUUCCUGAUGACUACCUUGUCUAUUUGCAGGAACAUGAGUUUGAUGUGGGAGAUAAUUCUGAGCCAGUCACUUAUCAAGAAGCCAUGAGUAGUCCUAAAUCUAUGUUGUGGAUGGAUGCAAUGAAAGAAGAAUUGAGUUCUAUGUCACAAAAUGAAGUUUGGAAGUUAGUUGAACUACCCAAAGGUUGCAGACCCAUUGGAUGCAAAUGGGUGUAUAAGAUCAAGCGUGACUUGAAUGGGCAAGUGGAAAGGUAUAAGGCUAGGCUUGUGGCUAAAGGCUAUAGCCAGAGAGAAGGUAUUGAUUUCAAAGAAACCUUUUCACCUGUUUCUACCAAAGAUUCGCUGCGAAUCAUUAUGGCUAUAGUUGCUCAUUUUGAUCUAGAACUCAUUUUGGCUAUAGUCUGGCAAAGAACACAUGGUUUGCAAGCUCAAAAAGUCUAUCUAUGGGCUUAAACAAGCAUCAAGGCAGUGGUAUCUCAAGUUUGAUAUGAUUGUCACUUCAAAUGGCUUCAAGGAGAAUGUGGUAGAUCAAUGUAUAUACAUGAAGGUCAGUGGGAGCAGUUUUAUUUUUCUAGUAUUGUAUGUUGACGACAUCCUGCUUGCAUCUAAUAAUUCUGACCUGUUGUCUAAGACGAAACAACUUUUGUUUAGCCAUUUUGAUAUGAAGGAUCUUGGUGAGGCUUCCUACGUGCUUGGGAUUCAGAUUCUUUGGGAUAGGGCUAAUGGUAUUCUUCGUUUGUCUCAGAAGACUUACAUUGAUCGGAUCUUGAAAAGGUUUAAUAUGCAUGCAUGUUUUCUUGGGAAGGCACCAAUAGUGAAGGGUGACAAGUUCUGAAAGGCUCAAUGUCCACAAAAUGAUAAAGAGAGUGAUGAAAUGAAAGUCGUUCCUUAUGCAUCACUGGUUGGUAGCUUGAUGUAUGCUCAAGUAGGCACACGCCCUGAUAUUGCUUUUGUUGUCGGCGUGUUGGGUAGAUACUUGAGUGAUCCUGGUCUUAGCCAUUGGAAAGCGGCUAAGAAAUUCAUUAGGUAUCUUCAGGGUACUAAGGAUCACAUGUUGACUUACCGAUGAGCUGACACUCUUGAUAUAGUUGGGUUCAGUGAUGCUGAUUAUGCAGGAUGCGUGGAUGAUAAAAAGUCCACUUCAGGCUACAUCUAUAUGAUGGUUGGAGGGGCUGUUUCAUGGAAAAGUGUCAAACAGACACUCACAGCUUCUUCUACGAUGGAGGCAGAGUAUAUGGCGUGUCAUGAGGCUACUUGUCAAGCAAUAUGGCUGCGGAAUUUCAUUUUAGCAUUGAGUGUUGUAGAUUCUAUUUUGAGGCUGCUGAAAUUGUAUUGUGACAACUCCGCAGCAGUAGCUUUCUCUAAGAACACUAGGAGUACUUCUCGCUCAAAGCAUAUUGAUAUAAAGUACUAUUUUGUUAAAUAGAAAGUUGUUGAGUCCCUCAUUUCUAUUGAGUACGCGCCUACCACUAGCAUGUUAGCAGACCCACUAACGAAAGGCUUACCUAUAUGUGUGUUUUUGGAACACGUUGCCCGAAUGGGAUUGUCAGGAGGCUAGCUUGUUGAGCUCAGUGGGAUUUUUUUUAUUUAUGUAUUGAACAUGCUAGUAUUUUGUAUGGAUUGCUUAUAGCUUGUGUUUUGUUCUGAACAUGCAUAAUGAUAAUUGAAGUCACUUCUUUUUAUUUCUAUUACGUAUAUAUGUUUAUAUAUGUAUAUACUAUUGUUCAUCGAAGUGACAGGUACAAAAGGAGAUGAAUGCGCAUAGUCUCAAUCAAUUGUACCUCAUGCAUGUUUGGUUUGAUAGCUAAUGGUUGUUAUGAUAUUUAAAUGUCUACAGGGCCAAGUCAUAUGUAAUAUUUGUAUCCUAUCGGUAUAAUAUUAUGUAUGAUUUAUUUGAUUGCCACAUAUGUGUUAGACAAUAUUAUGGUGGUUUGAUUAUAUUGUCCAAGUGGGAGAAUGUUAGAAUUAUUGUUAUGGACUAAUAUAAUCAUAGACAUUAUUCCAUAAUCACAACCAUUAACUAAAGUGCCUACUAAUUACCAAUAACCAUAAUGGGAUGGUUUACACUUACUAAUUGUAUUAGAGGCACAUGGUGGCACCCUAAUGACUAUGUGUUGGCCCAUUAAACUAUAGUUCACCACUUCAUAAUAUAAUGAGCCACAAUUAGCCCACUAAUACCUCUUAAGGUAUAAGAGCAUAAUAUAUAUGUUGUAUGGGUGGAAGUUGAGGGUAGUGUGGUAUUGUGGUAAGGGUUUGCUAUCCAUUAGGUUCCUCUUGCAUUUUGCACUUGAUUUUGUAGGUGAAUUGGAAGAUUUCUAUGGGAGGAAAUGGCUCUAGAAGGGAUUGGCAAUAUGGGAGACAUGGACUCCAAGAAUGUGUUCGACAUGUACUGUGCUCCCGAGGCUCCUGCGAGCAAGAAGAAAUCGACCAGGCGGCAUCAGGAGGAAAGCAGUAAAGCGCCUCCGGCCAAGAAAUCCCGUACUACAGACCCUCCGGCAGACGGUAUGUCAACAAAUGUAACACCACCUCCUUCUCCUCUCGAGCAGCAAACUCCUCCUACUCUGGUUGGGUUGACACCUUCUCCCCUGGCUCCAACUGACCAGACUUAGCAGGCUGCUCCUGCUUCCAUAGGGGGCGACAUAUCGAGUCGUGCCUUAAAAUUGGCCAAAGACAGGAUGGCCAAGAUUUUGAAGCAUGAACGUUGCCGAGAGGUGAUGGCGGGGACAGAGACGAUGGACGUUGACCAAAUCUUAACCCGUAGACUAAACGAGCUUGCCAGUGCAAUGCUGAUUGUUACUGCCGGCCGGCUCCACUUAGGUGCUAUCACCGAGCAGUCCAGGACAUCCGAGCAACGGCACGCUGAUGAACUCAAAGCUGCCGAAGCGAAAUACGCUGAACAACUUGAGGCGGCCCAGAAGACAAAUGCAGUGCUGCUCGAGGAGAAGAACAAGCUGGUUGAGGAGUUAAGGGAGAAGCAGACUGCGUUGGACAAGGCUGUUGAGCAAAGAGACCAAUUUAAGGAGUCUAACCGCGUCAACUACCGCGAGGCUAAAAAGCUCAAGGAUGACUUAAUUACGAGUAUACAAGAUACUAAAACAUUGGAGGGACGAAUCGAGAAGCUUGAAAAAGCCAAUGCCAGCAAUUUGGAAAGGUACAAGAAUGCCACGGUUAAGUGUUUCUACGACUUCUGGAAACACAACCACAAGGCUAAUUUCAGCUAUCUUCCCGAGCACACAAGGCAUGCUGAGAUAGCCCGCUGCGUUGCUCACUUGGUGGAAGAAGAGAGAGCAAGGGUGUCUGCCUCGCCUGAAAUCUCCUUGGCCACUGGCAUAGAAGGUGCGAACAAUGACGCUACAACUGUCGUUGACCAGGACACCCCUCAAGAUCCUCUAGCCUCAUAGUCUGAUUUUUUUUUUCUUUUACUCUUUAAUCUUUUAAGUACACGGCCUACGGGUCGUGAUGUAAAGACAAUAUAAUUUUUAUUGCUGCGCGGGCAGCUAAUUUUUUCUUUUAACAAACAAUUGCAUCCGAGCAGACUGCUUGCGGUGUAAAGGGUUUCCUUUUGAUAUUAUAAUAUUUGCCUUUUAUUAUAACAUAUGUUCGCAUGACUGAACUUAGCAUAGUACUUUGGUUUGAUUUAACAAAAUACAAAAUUUUGAAAAAUACUCUAAGUACCCUAGCAUGCUUUCACUUAUUUUGCUCAUGUGUUUACAUACCUCUCGAUAUGCUUUGAUUACUAGAUACCUUAUAUGCCCCCCAAGUGAUUGAGGAGCUCUAUGUCCUUGGUCACUUGCCUUGACCAAAACCUGUUCGAACAUUACUGCUUAGAGCAAAUAGUUAAAACGAUAAUAAAACAAAACAACACACGUAAUGAGCAAAUGGACAAAACGUGUCUGUACGAGUGAUCAAUAAGAUCUUACACUUAUAAGCAAUUACUCACAUAAAUUGACCAACCCUUUUUCAUAACUUGUAAAAAGUAAAAUUAAUACAAGCAAAACCUUUAAGAAGAAUUGUUCAUUGAUAGUACUUGCGUAGGUCUGUUGGAAAAAGCUUAUACAGGAUCUUUAUUUAUUUUCAUGUAUAUCUAAUAUUAAAAAAAUUAAUACGAGAUAGCCUAAAACAUGUUUCUAAAAUUGAAUUUAAAGAGAAACAAAGAAUAGAAUACUUACAGUAUACGCAGCGGAAUUAAAGAGUCAUUCCUUCAAUUUCUCUAACUCUUGUAUCCUCUCUGUCGCAGAGUAUUAUCAAGAAACUGAACCGAUCUUCUAUUUUCUUCACGAUCUUCCAAUGUAUCCUCAGAACCACCUAGACUAGUGUGGGCAAUUCUCAACACAUGAGAUAGAUAUAGAGAGAAGAAGAGAAAAUAACAAAGUGGCUUAGAAAAAGACUUGUGUUUAGAGAGAAUAUAAAACUAUCAGAAAAUCUGACUUGUGACUUAUCUGUCGUCUCUGAAAUCUUCUCUCUAAGCAUGCCUUUUAUAGACUCAAUUAGGCCAUUUAAUUUAAUUAAAAAAUCAAUAAAAUAACAGCCAUUUUGAAGCCCUAGGUCGAAAUCAUCAUGGGCUAUAGGCCCGUGAAAUUUCCCAUUUGAUUAUAAGCCCAUUGGACUUAAAAUCAAGGCCUGUAUUAUUUUCUAUUGAUUUAAUUAAUUAAAUAAUUAUUUAAAUCCUUUAUCAAAUUAAUUAUUUAUAAUUUGAACCUUGAUUUAAAUUUAUUUAUUAAUUUAGAUACCAAUUUAUCUUAAUUAAUAAAUCUGCCAUAAUUUCUCUUUUCUUCUCAAAAUUACACAACUCUGUGAAACUAUCCAAAAUUGACCUGGUCAACUUUGAUAAUUCUAACUGAUAAUUAAAUCAAUUAAUUGAGACUAUCUAGAUGAUUUUAUCCAAGGUACAAUGGGGACCAUGGGCCUAUGAAAUCAAGCUCCAAUAAGUUAUCAUAAAUCUAACAAAUAAAUUUACUAACUUAUUAAUUCCUCGUGACUCCACUAUAGACUUGGAAUUGCACUCUUGAAUUCAUAGAACACUCUAUAACAAAUAUAGAUACACUAUUAAUUAUCCAUUGUUACAACCAUAAUUGUCACUCAAUCCUCCAUAGACGGUCUACAAUGAGAUAGGACUAAAAUACUGUUUUACCCCUCAUUGUAUUUUAUCCUUAAAACACUUAGUUCCUUGUAAAUGAUAUUUCAGUAAACUAAUUUAAUUACUGAAAUGAGAUCUCUAUCAUUUAACACCUUGAACCAAACUAAAAGGAAACCAUCGUUUCACUUCUUCAUCAGAAGCUUGACAACUCUACAAAAUAGAGUUAUUUUACCACUUUUUAUGUGCUAAUUGUUGCUUAAAUCUUGAGUUUUUAAUUGAUUUAUUAAGUUUUUAAGUAAUUUUGAAUUUAUUGGGUUUAUUUUGAUUUUAUAUGUUUUUGUGUGUUUUUAUAGUUAUUUUGUUGUAAAAUGAUGUAGUUAAUUAUUUGAAUUAUUGUAGUUGAA